GGAAAAGCCCAACUAGGUCCAUUCAUAAAGUAGCAACCCGCUGCACUGGCUGGCACCAAGACAUUUCUGUGGCCAGGGUGGUUACCAAGUCUUGUCAUCCUGGCAACAAGGAUCGUAGUGAUGGGGACUUCCACAGAUGAUGUAAGUUACACUUGAGUAUAAGGGUGUCUCUUGGUCAUUUCUGCAGCCUUAGUGUGAGCAGACUGGCACCAAGAUGGGCUUGAGGACAUCUGCUGAGCGAAUCAUCGGAGAGAAGAAUCAGAAGAGGAUGGAACUAGAAGCAAGAAGCAAACACUCCUGGUCAAGCAAUAGCACUUUAGUAUCCUGCUAUCAUACACAUGUACAUGUGUGAGCACAGUGAUUUGAUGUCAUUGACAUGGAGCCAAGAAAACGCCUGUGUAAAGAAAUAACCAUUGACCAGCCCUACACGUCCGCUGCCUUUGUAUUUUCAUUCACUGGUCCUUUAGCAGACCCCAGAGACUCUUUGCCUUCCCAAGGACACAGCAAACUUUGGGGACAGUGAUAUUGAGAAGACAGGACUGAGAGUUUUAUAAUCCCAUUCCCUCUUUUGCUGGAACAAGUCACCCUGGAGGGA
rnacentral:lncRNA from 1 species